UUUCGACCUAUAUAGAGUUUGAAAGUACACGGGAAGCAUCGAUCGGGGUUGUUGCAUAAUUUCUAUGGAAAUUCGUGGAAUCUGUUUGGCAGUGCAGUGGCCGAUUAAAUUUUCAUGGGACAAUAUGCGAGCCAGCGACAUGGCGAGAAGUUCAAAUACAUCUGAACCCCCAGCAAAGUCGGAAGAGAUUGUAGCCAUUGAUGUCUUGAGUAACGGGUGCGCACCAAAGCCAAGUCUUGCCCUGUGGGCAUUAUGGUUGUUUGCCAGGGUAAGAAAGCUGUGGGAUUUUGGGCAGAACGUAAGGAGUGAGAGGAUGGUCAAGAACAUGGAAACAACGCUGCACAUGAAUUUUCCAGUUAGCGUCUGGAUUAGCUUGAAGUAUCUACGGUAGAUCCAGUGUCUAAUCGUGGCAUCAGCGAUGCGGGCCAACCCAUAAAUAUACACUUGGGUCCUCAACCCCGGACUUAAAUCCACGAAGGAGAGCUUUCGAGUGGUUGAUUUGUCAAAACCUCACAAACUAUUGGUUACGUAAUUGAAGAAUGAGCACGAGCAUUGGAGAUUAUCACCGGAUAAGUGGAUCAAGGAGGUACAAACAAUGUCAAUGAGUGAAGAUAAAAGGAUGAUGACAUCGAGUCAGCUGUUGUUGUUGUAGGUAGUGUUAUUAAUGGUCUGAAAGUGCCUUUAUCAUCUUCCACAACGUCCCGUUUAACUUCAGAGACAUAACACCUCAACAACCAGAGACAAGCUUUCUCUUGUGACGCUUUGAAGCCACAGUGGAUUGAUGUGCUUGAAUAUAAUAUUGCA